AAUCAAGCGCGAGAAGGGCGUUUGGUGGAUGCCUUGGCAGCAAGAGGCGAUGAAGGACGUGAUACUCUGCGAUAAGUCAUGGGGAGCUGAGAAUAAGCUUUGAUCCAUGAAUCUCCGAAUGGGGCAACCCACCUGACAGUUCGUUAUAAUUACCUCUGGUGAUUUAUAAUGGGCUGAACCAGGUACUUCUUACCUGAAUACAUAGGGUUUGAAGAGCAAACCCGGGGAACUGAAACAUCUAAGUACCCGGAGGAAAGGAAAUCAAUUGAUACUCCCCUAGUAGUGGCGAGCGAACGGGGACCAGCCGAGCCAUGAGAACGACUGGAACAUGCUGGAAAGCAUGGCCAUAGCGGGUGACAGCCCCGUACAGGAAGUUCAAGUGGACGUAUUAAGUAGGGCGGGACACGUGAAAUCCUGUCUGAAGAUCGGAGGACCACCUUCGAAGGCUAAGUACUCCUUGCUGACCGAUAGUGAACCAGUACCGUGAGGGAAAGGUGAAAAGCACCCCGACGAGGGGAGUGAAACAGUCCCUGAAACCGAACGCCUACAAUCAGUCGGAGCUUGACUGGACUCUAAUGACAAUCUGGGCCAUCAGAUGUCUUAUCGAAACCGGACGCAGGGAGCGGCAAACGCUCUCGAAGGUCAGAAAGAGGUAAGGCAGAAAAGAUGGCUGACGGAACCUUUGCAGUGCUGAUGUUCGUGCUCGGUCUGACCGACAUGAGCAUGAACCACUGCGGCAGCGGAAAAGGUUGCCUGGGGCGCUCGGAAACGACGCCGAGGCUGGCCUUUUCCGCCGGUGAGGUUCUGGAACGGCGCGCGAAACCCGCGACGGAGUUCUACCUGCGCUACGAUCUGGGCCACAAGAUGGGUCCGUUCGGUAAUGCGGUGGGGCUGUCGGUGGGCGAGCAGGGGGAAACCUGGGUCGGCUUCGGCCAGACCUACAGGGUGACCUUCGGCAACAGCGCGUUCUUCGCCGAGCUGCACGCGAUGCCCGGCCUCUACUUCGACAAUGGCGGCUUCGAUCUGGGUGGACCGAUCGAAUUCCGUUCCGGCGUCGAACUGGGGUGGGAAAACCAGCGCGGCUGGCGAUUUGGCCUGAGCUAUGACCACCGGUCGAACGCGGGGAUCUACGACAAGAACCCCGGCAUCGAGACGGUGCAGUUCCGGGUCAGCAUUCCGACCAGAUAGAGUGGAAGAAAUUCCGCCGUGUGGGCUCUCGUGACAUUGCCGCGCAAUGCACUGACGCCCACGCCAACUCGUUCGCUGCGCGAAGAGUUGGGGAUUGCCAUUAGUGUCCAGUCUUGUGACGGCGUACCUUUUGUAUAAUGGGUCAUCGACUUGGUCUAUCUAGCAAGCUUAAGCCGGUAGGUGUAGGCGCAGCGAAAGCGAGUCUUAAUAGGGCGUCGAGUUAGAUGGAUCAGACCCGAAACCGAGUGAUCUAGGCAUGACCAGGAUGAAGGUAAGGUAACACUUACUGGAGGUCCGAACCCACACCUGUUGAAAAAGGUCGGGAUGAGUUGUGCCUAGGGGUGAAAGGCCAAUCAAACUCGGAGAUAGCUGGUUCUCCGCGAAAUCUAUUUAGGUAGAGCGUCAUCCGAAUACCCCGGGGGGUAGAGCACUGGAUGGGUAAUGGGGCCCCACAGGCUUACUGAUCCUAACCAAACUCCGAAUACCCGGGAGUACUAGAUGGCAGACACACGGCGGAUGCUAACGUCCGUCGUGAAGAGGGAAACAACCCUGACCUCCAGCUAAGGCCCCCAAUUCAUGGCUAAGUGGGAAAGCAAGUGGGACGACCAAAACAACCAGGAGGUUGGCUUAGAAGCAGCCAUCCUUUAAAGAUAGCGUAACAGCUCACUGGUCUAAUCAAGUUGUCCUGCGGCGAAGAUGUAACGGGGCUCAAGCCAUGAGCCGAAGCUGAGGAUGCCGUAAGGCAUGGUAGCGGAGCGUAGUGUGACAUAGCACUUUGCUUCUUCUAUCGCAUCGGUACGGACAGCGCGGGCAACCGCGCUCAAGUAGCGAAGCGGUAGCGCAAGCAUAAGUGCUUUCUGUGAAGCCGGCGCGUGAGCGAUCCGGUGGAGAGAUCACUAGUGAGAAUGAUGACAUGAGUAGCGACAAAGAGUGUGAGAGACACUCUCGCCGAAAGUCCAAGGGUUCCUGCUUAAAGCUAAUCUGAGCAGGGUGAGCCGACCCCUAAGGCGAGGCCGAAAGGCGUAGUCGAUGGGAACCAGGUUAAUAUUCCUGGGCCAGGAGGAUGUGACGGAUUGUGGCGGCGUGCGGGUCUUAUCGGAUUGACCCGUAUCCAAGACAGUUCCUGGAAAUAGCCCUCCAUGAGAUCGUACCCUAAACCGACACAGGUGGACUGGUAGAGAAUACCAAGGCGCUUGAGAGAACGAUGUUGAAGGAACUCGGCAAAAUACCUCCGUAAGUUCGCGAGAAGGAGGCCCGGUACAAGAGUGCCGGGGGCACAAACCAGGGGGUGGCGACUGUUUAUUAAAAACACAGGGCUCUGCGAAGUCGCAAGACGACGUAUAGGGUCUGACGCCUGCCCGGUGCCUGAAGGUUAAAAGGAGGGGUGCAAGCUCUGAAUUGAAGCCCAGGUAAACGGCGGCCGUAACUAUAACGGUCCUAAGGUAGCGAAAUUCCUUGUCGGGUAAGUUCCGACCUGCACGAAUGGCGUAACGACUUCCCCGCUGUCUCCAACAUCGACUCAGCGAAAUUGAAUUGCCGGUCAAGAUGCCGGCUACCCGCGGUUAGACGGAAAGACCCCGUGCACCUUCACUACAGCUUCGCACUGGCAUCAGACACAACAUGUGCAGGAUAGGUGGUAGGCUUUGAAGCAGGGACGCCAGUCUCUGUGGAGCCACCCUUGAGAUACCACCCUUGUUUUGUUUGAUGUCUAACCGCGGCCCGUUAUCCGGGUCCGGGACCCUGCGUGGUGGGUAGUUUGACUGGGGCGGUCGCCUCCUAAAGCGUAACGGAGGCGCGCGAAGGUUGGCUCAGAGCGGUCGGAAAUCGCUCGUUGAGUGCAAUGGCAGAAGCCAGCCUGACUGCAAGACUGACAAGUCGAGCAGAGUCGAAAGACGGCCAUAGUGAUCCGGUGGUCCCAAGUGGGAGGGCCAUCGCUCAACGGAUAAAAGGUACGCCGGGGAUAACAGGCUGAUACUGCCCAAGAGUCCAUAUCGACGGCAGUGUUUGGCACCUCGAUGUCGGCUCAUCUCAUCCUGGGGCUGGAGCAGGUCCCAAGGGUAUGGCUGUUCGCCAUUUAAAGAGGUACGUGAGCUGGGUUUAGAACGUCGUGAGACAGUUCGGUCCCUAUCUGCCGUGGGUGUAGGAUACUUGAGAGGAGUUGCCCCUAGUACGAGAGGACCGGGGUGAACGAUCCACUGGUGGACCAGUUGUCGUGCCAACGGCAGUGCUGGGUAGCUAUGAUCGGACAGGAUAACCGCUGAAGGCAUCUAAGCGGGAAGCCCCCCUCAAAACAAGGUAUCCCUGAGGACCGUGGUAGACCACCACGUCGAUAGGCCAGAGGUGUAAGCGCAGCAAUGCGUUCAGCUGACUGGUACUAAUGGUCCGAUAGGCUUGAUUUG
rfam:Maliponia aquimaris strain CECT 8898 genome assembly, contig: 0034